rnacentral:rRNA from 2 species
AAAUUGAAGAGUUUGAUCAUGGCUCAGAUUGAACGCUGGCGGCAGGCCUAACACAUGCAAGUCGAACGGUAACAGGAAGCAGCUUGCUGCUUUGCUGACGAGUGGCGGACGGGUGAGUAAUGUCUGGGAAACUGCCUGAUGGAGGGGGAUAACUACUGGAAACGGUAGCUAAUACCGCAUAACGU